UACGGAGGGGGCUAGCGUUGUUCGGAAUUACUGGGCGUAAAGCGCGCGUAGGCGGACCUGCAAGUCGGGGGUGAAAGCCCGAGGCUUAACCUAGGAACUGCCUUCGAUACUGCGGGGCUCGAGUCCGGGAGAGGGGAGUGGAAUUCCUAGUGUAGAGGUGAAAUUCGUAGAUAUUAGGAAGAACACCAGUGGCGAAGGCGGUUCACUGGGCCGAUACUGACGCUGAGGCGCGAAAGCGUGGGGAGCAAACAGG
rnacentral:rRNA from 1 species